GCCUGGCUGGCUCAGUCGGUAAAGCACGUGACUCUUAAUCUCAGGGUUGUGAGUUCAAGCCCCAUGUUGGGCA
rnacentral:tRNA from 1 species